AUUGAACGCUGGCGGCGUGCCUAACACAUGCAAGUCGAGCGGUAACAGGUGUAGCAAUACAUGCUGACGAGCGGCGAACGGGUGAGUAAUGCUUCGGAAUCUACCCAAUGGUGGGGAAUAACCAGCCGAAAGGUUGGCUAAUACCGCAUACGUCCUACGGGAGAAAGCAGGGGAUCGUAAGACCUUGCGCCAAUGGAUGAGCCGAAGUCGGAUUAGCUAGUUGGAGGGUAACGGCCUACCAAGGCGACGAUCCGUAGCUGGUCUGAGAGGACGACCAGCCACACUGGGACUGAGACACGGCCCAGACUCCUACGGGAGGCAGCAGUGGGGAAUAUUGGACAAUGGGGGAAACCCUGAUCCAGCGACGCCGCGUGUGUGAAGAAGGCCUGCGGGGUUGUAAAAGCACUUUUAGUGGGGAUAGAAAAGUUCAGGGCUAAUACCCCUGGAUCUUGACCUAACCACAGAAAAGCACCGGCUAACUCUGUGCCAGCCGCCGCAGUAA
rnacentral:rRNA from 1 species